UACGGAGGAUGCGAGCGUUAUCCGGAUUUAUUGGGUUUAAAGGGUGCGCAGGCGGCACGGCAAGCCGGCGGUCAAAUCGCGGGGCUCAACCCCGCCCAGCCGUCGGAACUGCCGGGCUAGAGUGGGCGAGAAGUGCGCGGAAUGCGUGGUGUAGCGGUGAAAUGCAUAGAUAUCACGCAGAACUCCGAUUGCGAAGGCAGCGCACCGGCGCCCUACUGACGCUCAGGCACGAGAGCGUGGGUAUCGAGCAGG
rnacentral:rRNA from 1 species